UUUCUGUCUAGACGCUGUGAGA
rnacentral:misc_RNA from 1 species